GGGCACUCACGGCGGAUCUAUGCCAGUGUAUUUGGACGAGUCGUGGCACCUGGUCGUGUUUCGUGCCCUGUGGCAACAGGACAAGUUUUCCUACCAAGUUAUGAAGAGAGAGGAACAGAAAGGAACUUAACCCGACGUGAACACUGACCAGAUUAUAACAGAGAAGAACGAGAAAAAAUACCUGAACGGGGCCAAAAAAUAGAGGAAUAAACAAAUGGUUUGGUAAAUAGGUAGAUAAAUGGAAGUGGAAAGGAAUCAGUGAUAAUAGAACAUGAAAUAAGAAAAAAGAGCGAAAAGAAAAGAAAAAGA